UUAGGAAUUUUGCGCAAUGGGCGAAAGCCUGACGCAGCAACGCCGCGUGAGGGAAGACGGCUUUCGGGUUGUAAACCUCUUUUAGCAGGGACGAACACAAUGACGGUACCUGCAGAAAAAGCACCGGCUAACUACGUGCCAGCAGCCGCGGUAAUACGUAGGGUGCAAGCGUUAUUCGGAUUUAUUGGGCGUAAAGCGCAUGUAGGCGGUUCGGUAAGUCUGGUGUGAAAGCCCUCGACUCAAUCGAGGAAGUGCAUUGGAUACUGUCGAACUGGAGUACAGGAGGGGUGAGCGGAAUUCCAGGUGUAGAGGUGAAAUUCGUAGAUAUCUGGAGGAACAACAGCGGCGAAGGCGGCUCACUGGACUGUAACUGACGCUCAGAUGCGAUAGUGUGGG
rnacentral:rRNA from 1 species